rnacentral:rRNA from 1 species
UGGGGAAUUUUGGACAAUGGGCGAAAGCCUGAUCCAGCAAUGCCGCGUGUGUGAAGAAGGCCUUCGGGUUGUAAAGCACUUUUGUCCGGAAAGAAAUCCUUGGCUCUAAUACAGUCGGGGGAUGACGGUACCGGAAGAAUAAGCACCGGCUAACUACGUGCCAGCAGCCGCGGUAAUACGUAGGGUGCAAGCGUUAAUCGGAAUUACUGGGCGUAAAGCGUGCGCAGGCGGUUUGCUAAGACCGAUGUGAAAUCCCCGGGCUCAACCUGGGAACUGCAUUGGUGACUGGCAGGCUAGAGUAUGGCAGAGGGGGGUAGAAUUCCACGUGUAGCAGUGAAAUGCGUAGAGAUGUGGAGGAAUACCGAUGGCGAAGGCAGCCCCCUGGGCCAAUACUGACGCUCAUGCACGAAAGCGUGGGGAGCAAACAGGAUUAGAUACCCUGGUAGUCCACGCCCUAAACGAUGUCAACUA